rnacentral:rRNA from 1 species
UACGGGGGGGGCAAGCGUUGUUCAGAAUUACUGGGCGUAAAGGGCUCGUAGGUGGCCAACUAAGUCAGACGUGAAAUCCCUCGGCUUAACCGGGGAACUGCGUCUGAUACUGGAUGGCUUGAGUUUGGGAGAGGGAUGCGGAAUUCCAGGUGUAGCGGUGAAAUGCGUAGAUAUCUGGAGGAACACCGGUGGCGAAGGCGGCAUCCUGGACCAACACUGACACUGAGGAGCGAAAGCCAGGGGAGCAAACGGG